rnacentral:lncRNA from 1 species
UUUAAAGUUUGUUUCGUUUUUACUAAAACGAUAAUCUUUAUUGCGCUGUUACCAAAUAAUAAAGGCAUUGAGGGUACAACAGAUAGAUCGAAGAUCGAAGCACAACAAAACAUUGAAAGUAAAAUUUUAUUGUAAUUUAUACACAUUUUUCUUUCUCAAAAAAAAAAAAACCAAACAAAAAAACGAAAAUAAAAAUAUCAGAUUUGUUAAGCAAUUCAAAUUUGCUUUAUAUAUGGUAGUUGUGAUAGUGUUGGUGGUAGGAGAGAUAGGCAUUAAAAUGAAGAAUCCAUGUUUAUUUUCUUUUUAUUGUUAUAUUCUCUUUUAUUUCAAUGUUAUUAUUUUGCUUUCUUUUUAGUUACCUUUAUUUUAUUUUUAAUUAAAUUUAAUUUUCUUUUAUACUUUCUCUUUUCAAAUAUCCAUUAAAAAUAUAAAAUAAAAUAAAUUUGAAAAGAGAAAUGAGAAUGAAUCUUUGAAGGAAUGAAAAUUAAUGGGCAAAAAAAAACGUUAUUUGAAUAUUUAUUUUAGUUUUAUUUCAUUUUAAAUGACAAGUUUUAAGGCAAAAGAUUUUGUCUGAAGAUGCAAAAUAUAUAUUUUUACCGCACGAAAAAGCGGAUAUGAUAAGGCAAUAAAUUCGGCAUAUUAAAGCAAUAUGGCCGAUACAUUUAGCUGACGUCGCAAAUCAGAAGUCAGCGAGUUUCUGGAGUGGGAUUUUAAAAUAUAUAUAUGUUUGUAUGUACAUAUGUAUGCAUGUAUGUAUGUACGUACAUAUGUAUGUAUGUGCAUGUGCAUGUGUAUAUGUAUAGGUGCAGCUAUAUAUAUAUAUAUAUAUACAUACACAUAUGUACUUACAUGCAUACAUACGCAUAUACAUUGUUCAGAAUUCGGCGUAUGUUUCUACGGUUUCAAUUAGAUACGCUCGUUAUUGUAUGUAUGUUUGUUUCUUUUGAGUUAAAAGAAUUUUCUACUGCAAUUCACUUAAUCUUCAUAGCUGUCCUUGUAGGUUUAGGUUAGGAAAAUCCGAAAUUCUACAGAUUAUUGAUAAGAUGAAAGAGGGAAUUAUCUUUCCUUCUGUUUCCUCUUUAAUAUAUUUUUGCCCUUCUUAUCUUAUAUGUUUUCCUAUUCUAAAUAAUAGACACAAAUAAAUAAUUUCAACUUUAUUAUGUAAAGUUUAAUGUAUUUAUUUAAAAUAGUCUUUGCAUGUGUUCUUGUUUUAAACGUGUGAGUGCGUUUUUGUGUAUGUAAACGUAAACACAAGUAUUUAAUGCGUAUACAUGUGUAUACGUGUAUAUAUACGCACAUUUAUAUGCAUAGAUACACACACACACAUAUAUAUAUAAAAUAGAAAAUUUCUAUUUGUAAAUCUUUCAACGAGAGAUAUUCAGUAAUAUAUAUAUAUAUCAUAUAUAUAUAUAUAUAUAUAUAUAUAUAUAUAUAUAUCUGCGGCUUAUGGUUUAUUCUCCUCAGUGUUUGUUGCAAAGUAGUUUGUAUGGAAAGACUAAGCAGAUAUUUCAAGAUACAAUUUCACGUGAAAAACCAUACUAUUAAUGAUAAUAAAAAUGCUUAUAAAAUAUAACGUUAAUAUUUUCAUAAUAAUAUUUAAAUACAAUGCAAAAACCAAUAGGCUUUGCUCUUAUUUCUAAUAUUGCUAUUCCUGUUCUUUAGGAGAUUCAGAAUUGUUCAUGUUUAUUUGGGAGGUAUUUCGUAACGGGGUAUUAUAGGUGAAGGAAUGUUUAGUGUGCAUAUAUAUAUAUAUAUAUAUAUAUAUAUAUAUAUAUAUAUACAUACAUAAGAAUCCUGAUGGGUGAAAUCUAUAUAAACUUAAGUAAAAAAAUAUUUUAGGCAAAUGCAUGGCUAUUCAUUGCACAUUUUGGACGUUAAGGCAUAUUCAUAAUAUGUAAAAAUGUCUUCUCAAACUAGGGAGAAAAUUUUCCAUCUGAGAGAGAAAGACAUUUAUAGUUCUCACCGUGGUCUUCUAAAUAUAUAUCUAUGUGUAUAUAUAUAUCUAAAUAUAUAUCUAUGUAUAUAUAUAUAUAUAUAUAUAUAUAUAUAUAUAUAUAUAUAUAUAUAUAUAUAUGUACAUAUAUAUAUGUAUGUAUGUAUGUAGGUGGUGUAAGUUUUAUUUUUUCUACACAAAAACCAGUGUGGCUAUGGAAAUAUGAUAGAAAUGAAAAUUUUUGAAAGAAAGCUGUAAAUGUCUUACAUUGUUUUAAGAAAAAUGGUAAAGGAAAUUGAAAAUAAACUUGAAUAGAAAUGAAGAAUUAUAAAAAAAAACGAAACCCAACCAGACAUGGUUGAUAUUGCAUAAUAAAUAAGGGAAUAAAUAAAUAAACUGAGUUUAUAUUUGUCGAGCAGUUGAGCAGGAAUCCACAUUUGGAUGAACAUCAGAGGAGUGAGGCCUCACUAAAUGCAUGUAUAUGUAAACUAUCAACCUAUAUGAUAUAUCAUAUAUAUAUAUAUUUAUAAAUAAUAUGCUAUAAGUAUAUAUCUGUAUAUAUAUAUAUAUAUAUAUAUAUAUAUAUAUAUAUAUAUAUAUAUAUAUAUAUAUAUAUAUAUAUAUAUAUAUAUAUACAUGGAAUAUGUAUAUGAUUAUGCGUGUGUGUGUUUGAGAGAGAGUCUGUGUGUAUGUUUGUAUAAUUUCAAUAAUAUAGGAAACUUUGAAAAUUCAAAUAAUAAAGGCUAUCUCGAAAGGUUGUUUUGUAUUACUGUAAAAAAUAAUUUUUUUUCUUAGAGGCUUGUAGAUUUAAGAUGGAAAUAAAAUGUCCUCAUGAAUUUUGAAGACAAGUUAUCAAUUCCAAUGUUUUGUUUUUCUUCUGAUUGUUUUCUUUUUUUUUACGUUUGUAAUAGCAGAUUAUUUUAACAAUAUUAUUUUUUUCCCUGAUCUAAAAAAAAAAAAAGUUGAAGUCAAAUUUCUCUUUGUUCAAUCCAGCGGCAGUUUCCAUAAGCAACUUGCUUCGCCAUCACUCGGCAUUUUUUGACAUUAAUGGGGAGAUAACAAUGGUUGAAACAAUUGGAAUGUCAUGACAGACCAAAUUUAUACAUUAUAUGUGUGUGUGUGUAUGAAUGUAUGUAUUCACUUUUCACAGUCAUCCAUUGAAAAGGCAAUGGAUGUUUUCUAAAUCAGAAACAAUAAAAAAAAGAAAAGAAAACAGCUAAAAAAUAAAUAAUUGUAAAAAGGAAAAUUAAAGAAACAAGGUUUGUAAAAUAGUGAAAGCCAAAAGAAGCUCAUAUUAAUGUUGGAAAUAUACAUAAAUGAAAAAUAAUAG